ensembl:lncRNA
CAGCCACAGCCAAAUGCUGACUGAUACCACUAAGAAGGAACAGAAAGACGCAGAGCAGGCACACAUUUUCUGCUAAUAUAAGUGGCAAUAUAGUUAUAGUAUUUGUGUGAAGUCUCAACUCUUAGCGGGGUGAUGCUGAAGGAUGUCAUGAAGCUACUUUUCUCCUCAGGAGCACAGGCCUCGAUUUACGUUUGACCAGAGCCGGUUCCUGGUGGGAAAAGACAAACUGAGCGGAGAACACAGGUUCAACAAAAACAGCCGGGGUAGAAACUCGAUAAGCGAUGACACCACUGUCACCGAGAGUUCAGCAGCUGUAAUAACAACAAGCUGUAAGAAGUGUGCGCUGAGCACGCAAUAACACCCCCCUCACAGGUCAUAUGUGUGUAAACUUAAAGCUUACUGAUGUGUUGUGAAUAGAACAUACGUUCUUUUUUUUUUCUCACUCGUCAGUUGUUGCUGCAUUUGAAAAUAUUGUUGACAUGAAGGUUCGUUGUUCCAAUAGCAUCGGCUAUCCCUCAGGAUCUGCAAAAAUCUCUGCUGGAUGGGAACGUCAAGGCCUUCCACUGCUGAGUGACCUGGUAGGCGUGGAUGAACACCACCAUGACCGCAACCAGACAGAUGAGAGGCACCAGCACCGCUGUGCACAGAGCUGCAUAGAUGUUUGGGAUGAAGCACCUAAAGGGAGAACCAACAACAUUGAAAGUGAUUCCCUGUUUUUCUUCUUCAGUUUAUGUAGAUAGAAAUAUGCAGAAUGUAUGUGGAAAAAAGAGGGGAUUAAAAGAGAGGAAGUUUGCAUCCAUAAAAAGGUAAAGCUCUAAAAUAUGGGAAACGGGUUAAGACUGCAUUUCUUCAACUUUCACAAAUACGUUUUAUCUGGUAAA